GAGGAUAUAGCUUAGUGGUAGAGUGCCUGCCGAGCAUGCAUGAGGCCCUGAGUUCAAACCCCAGUACUGUUG
rfam:Ictidomys tridecemlineatus contig081170, whole genome shotgun sequence.